CCAGGAGGGACAGCGACACAUCUGUUGCCCCCACUGGGGAGCUUGGGUCUUGUUAUGAACUCCGAAAGAGAAGAGCAUCACCAGCACUUGUGAGCCACAAGCCCCCACUCAGAUCCCUUACGGCCGUGUCUCAGCAGCCACAUAAAGUGUGGGGUUGGCAUGAACCCCUAACUGCAGGUUGCUCUGCUAAGCUGUUAUUUAUAGUUUGAACCACCCUGUGGUAGGAGUAGAUAUUUGUCUGUUUCCAGUGGGAGGUAAUUAGCACAGCCAGCUACUUCUCUGCUGACUUCCUUUGAGAAACUCCCCAAGGUGAGAAAUGUCUCCUGUGUCCCGUCCUUGUUGGUGUCUGCUGUGCUGCCUCAAGGGGUUGCAGCAAGGAGAUGCCUUCACGAAGCCCUGGUCCUAGCCUCUGCUGUGGAUGAAAGUCAUGGACACGGGGAACCUGUGCUCACCUUCAGAGUCGGGGCAGCAGCUCAGCCCAGAGGUGGAGCUGGGCUGUGAAGCCUCCUGGCAGGGACUCUAAUCCCUUGCUGUUGGCUGUCCUGGUUCUGUGUCACACAGAUGGCCACAGUAAACCCAGAGUGACCAGCUCAUGGACAGUGUCAGACCUCGACGUCGGGCCUAAUUAUGGCUCCUCGCGGCCCUCUGCAAGCCCAUUUGUAAACCGUAUGUUGGCUGACAAGCUUAGUGGGAAGCUGCGUCCUCUUUAAUAUGUACAAAAUCACCUGUCACUUGUUUUUCCAAACUGACAAAGGUCUGCUCAUCACAUCUAGAUUUGAAAAAGAUGCCACACAAACGUAAUUUGUCCCUUUCUUCAACAGACAGGUAUGGAGUCUGGGUGGGGCCACGUGUACCCUCCCAUCCUUAGAAAGAGUGUGACACCAAGGGACAGAUGCUGGCGUAGCGCGGGUUUUGUUUUGGAGGGUUUUUUGUUUGUUUUUACAAAAUUAAGAUAUUUCUGAGUUUAUUAUGAGGCUUUUAGUUUUACAAUCAUACUAAAAGAUAAUUGUUCCUCUAUAAAAUGAUUUUCCUUCUGUACCUCUUGCCUUCUUCUGAAGAAAGGAGAAAAUUGCUUUUU
rnacentral:lncRNA from 1 species